rnacentral:rRNA from 1 species
CGCCCGCCGCGCGCGGGGGCUACGGGAGGCAGCAGUGAGGAAUAUUGGUCAAUGGACGGAAGUCUGAACCAGCCAAGUAGCGUGCAGGAUGACGGCCCUAUGGGUUGUAAACUGCUUUUAUGCGGGGGUAAAGUGAGUGACGUGUCAUUCAUUGCAAGUACCGCAAGAAUAAGGACCGGCUAAUUCCGUGCCAGCAGCCGCGGUAAUA